GCCAUGCCGCGUGUGUGAAGAAGGCCUUAUGGUUGUAAAGCACUUUAAGCGAGGAGGAGGCUACUUUAGUUAAUACCUAGAGAUAGUGGACGUUACUCGCAGAAUAAGCACCGGCUAACUCUGUGCCAGCAGCCGCGGUAAUACAGAGGGUGCGAGCGUUAAUCGGAUUUACUGGGCGUAAAGCGUGCGUAGGCGGCUUAUUAAGUCGGAUGUGAAAUCCCCGAGCUUAACUUGGGAAUUGCAUUCGAUACUGGUGAGCUAGAGUAUGGGAGAGGAUGGUAGAAUUCCAGGUGUAGCGGUGAAAUGCGUAGAGAUCUGGAGGAAUACCGAUGGCGAAGGCAGCCAUCUGGCCUAAUACUGACGCUGAGGUACGAAAGCAUGGGGAGCAAACAGGAUUAGAUACCCUGGUAGUCCAUGCCGUAAACGAUGUCUACUAGCCGUUGGGGCCUUUGAGGCUUUAGUGGCGCAGCUAACGCGAUAAGUAGACCGCCUGGGGAGUA
rnacentral:rRNA from 1 species